AGGUCUCAGUUCAGAUUGCAGGCUGCAACCCGCCUGCAUGAAGUCGGAAUUGCUAGUAAUCGCGGAUCAGCAUGCCGCGGUGAAUACGUUCCCGGGCCUUGUACACACCGCCCGUCACACCAUGGGAGCCGGUAAUACCCGAAGUCAGUAGUCCAACCUCGUGAGGACGCUGCCGAAGGUAGGAUUGGCCGACUGGGGUGAAGUCGUAACAAGGUAAC
rnacentral:rRNA from 1 species